GAUGAACGCUGGCGGCGUGCCUAAUACAUGCAAGUCGAGCGAACAGACGAGGAGCUUGCUCCUCUGACGUUAGCGGCGGACGGGUGAGUAACACGUGGAUAACCUACCUAUAAGACUGGGAUAACUUCGGGAAACCGGAGCUAAUACCGGAGAAUAUAUUGAACCGCAUGGUUCAAUAGUGAAAGACGGUUUUGCUGUCACUUAUAGAUGGAUCCGCGCCGCAUUAGCUAGUUGGUAAGGUAACGGCUUACCAAGGCAACGAUGCGUAGCCGACCUGAGAGGGUGAUCAGCCACACUGGAACUGAGACACGGUCCAGACUCCUACGGGAGGCAGCAGUAGGGAAUCUUCCGCAAUGGGCGAAAGCCUGACGGAGCAACGCCGCGUGAGUGAUGAAGGUCUUCGGAUCGUAAAACUCUGUUAUUAGGGAAGAACAAAUGUGUAAGUAACUAUGCACGUCUUGACGGUACCUAAUCAGAAAGCCACGGCUAACUACGUG
rnacentral:rRNA from 1 species